CUUCCAGAAUGUCACAUCCCUCGGGGACUCCAGGAAGGUGGUUGUUAAGUCGACGUUGGUACGGAGUUCCAUUCCUGGGAUAUCAUCUUAAGGAAAUGAGCAUCAACACACGUGAAAAUUUCCAUACACGAAUUUCCAAGGCAGCAUUAUUUAAGAGCAGAAACGAUCUCAACGUCCCACACUCGGAGCGUGGUGAGCCCAGUUGCGCUGUAGGCAUAUUACGGAACGCCAUGUGGCCGUCAGAAGUGAUGCUCUAAAGACAAAUAAACUAUAUGGAAGAUCGAGAUGGUUGUGUGUUAAAUGGAAAAAAACGUGCAAAGCUAUAGAGAGUGCAUGAUCCAAAUGUAAUUAAGAAUAUUUGUAUGUAAAAAGUUUGGAAUAAAAUGCCGUAAUGUA